GCCUCGGUAGCGCAGUAGGCAGCGCGUGAGUCUAAUAAUCUUCGGUCGUGACUCGUGAGUUCGAUCCUCACCCGGGGCA